rnacentral:ncRNA from 1 species
UAUAAAUUUGAUUCUAGUUUAUAAGGAUUUUUAUUUAGAUGAUUUUAAUAUGUAAGUAUUUGCGUGUGUUUAUAAUUUAAUUUAAAAAAUUUUAUUAAAAGCUCAUAUUAAUCGCAGUUUUUAUUUUUAUGUAUAUAGUAGUUUAGGACAUAGUCAAUCUUUUAAUGGUUAGCAAAAAUUGUGCCAGCAGCUGCGGUUAUACAAUUAGCCAGUAUUAUCUCUAUUAGGAUAUUAUUAAUUUUAAAUUGUUGUUUUCAAUAUUAAUGUUAUUUUAAAGUGAAAUUUAAAUGUUAAUUAUAUGAUUGGUUAAAGAUUAUAGGAAAUUCUUUUUAGAGACUAGGAUUAGAUACCCUAUUAUUUUGAAUGUAAAAAAUUUUUCUUAUUAUUAAUAGUUAAGAUCUUUAAAUUGAAAGAAUUUGACGGUAAUUUAAUCAUUUUAGAGGAACCUGUUCUGUAAUCGAUAGUCCACGAUAAAUUUUACCCUAGUUGUUUAUAAAUUAGCUUGUAUAUCUCUGUUUGAUGAAUGUUUUAUUAGAAUAUUUUCUUUAAUUUUUAUGGAAAUUUAUGUCAGGUCAAGGUGCAGUUAUACUAGGGAUUGAAAUGGGUUACAUUUAAUUAAUUUUAUUAUUGAAUUAGGCAUAUUUAUUUUGUGCUUAUGAAAUUGGAUUUAAUUGUAAUGUUUAAUAUAUAUUAUUCAUGAUAUAUGUUCUUGAUUAAGUACAUAUCGCCCGUCACUCUCAUUAUUAAAAUGAGAUAAGUCGUAACAAAGUAGCUCUAUCGGAAGAUGGGGCUGGAAUUAUA